rnacentral:rRNA from 1 species
AUGACCUACCCGACCUGCCCUUCCCCGUCCGACCUAUCCGACCUGCCAUUCCCCGUCCAGCCGCGGCGGCCCCUCAUGCCCGACCUGCCCUUCCCCGUCCAGCCGCCGCGACCCCUCAUGCUCUCCCACCUGCCGCCGCCAAGCAUGCUUGCCUCCAGCCAGCCGCCCCUGCUGACCCUGCCGCCCUCACCGCCGGUGGUCCCCGGCGAGCAACCUCUCCAGAGACGCGGGAUCCAGCCGCCGUCGCCACCAUGGAUUCCGCCUCCAUUUCCCAAUCGAUCGUCCUCAUGGCCAGUCACCGCCGGUGAGUUACGCCACCACGCCCAACGCCCCCCUCCCAGUCACCGCUGCUCCACAGAUGAGCAUUAA